rnacentral:rRNA from 1 species
UACGGAGGGUGCAAGCGUUGUCCGGAUUUAUUGGGUUUAAAGGGUGCGUAGGCGGCUUGAUAAGUCCGUGGUGAAAGCCAACAGCUCAACUGUUGAACUGCCAUGGAUACUGUCAGGCUUGAGUACAGACGAGGUAGGCGGAAUUGAUGGUGUAGCGGUGAAAUGCAUAGAUACCAUCAAGAACACCGAUUGCGAAGGCAGCUUACUAGGCUGUAACUGACGUGAGGCACGAAAGCGUGGGGAGCGAACAGG